rnacentral:rRNA from 1 species
UGAGCAAUCUGCCCUUCUCAUCGGAAUAAGCGUUGGAAACGACGUCUAAUGCCGAAUACGACCUCCUUUCGCAUGAUCGGAGGUGGAAAGCUCCGGCGGAGAAGGAUGAGCUCGCGGCCUAUCAGCUUGUUGGUGAGGUAAUAGCUCACCAAGGCGAUGACGGGUAGCCGGCCUGAGAGGGUGACCGGCCACACUGGGACUGAGACACGGCCCAGACCUCUACGGGAGG